rnacentral:lncRNA from 1 species
UGCACUCCAGCCUGGGUGACAGAGCGAGACUCCAUCUCAAAAAAAAAAAGGUAAUAGUGUAUUUUUAAAAGAUGGUAAUAGUGUCUCUUCUGCAUUGUAAACUCAGAGCUGUGACUAGGCCAAUGGGGCAUCUCCGUGUUUUUUAUUAUUCAGGUGAUGUUCUGUGCCCUUUGAGUUUACCUUACUUUUGCAGAUUACAGAGUAAGCCGCCAGCAGAAGCAAUAAAGACAUUACUGGGCCUUUGCACUGCAACAUCAUGCCUCUGAAGAAAAAAAAAGUGCAAACAUUACAAUAGAUUCAGCUCCUUUAGUUCUCACUUCUGUCUCCACGUCAAGAUAAAAUACUGACAUUGAAAUAGAAUGGAUGACAUGCUUGAAAUGAGUCAUGUGCCUGAAAAGUCAUUAACAAACAACAGUUCCAGAGAAAAGCCAGGAAAAACUCCCCAUGGAUUUAGAGACAGAGCUCUCACCUUCAACAGGUUACUUUUUCCUUGUCUCAGGCUUCCUUGGAAAACAACCUAUAACUAACUUUCUGGGAGUAAAGCUUCAGGUGGAAGAACAAUUGGAUCAAACUUGGAAAACAUGCCCCCAGUUUGUCUACUCCAUUGAACUUUGCAUGCUUGGAGCCCCUGGCCUCAGCACACUCAAUCGCACAAGCCAGCCUGCAGCACCUGUACAGCACCAUGGGAGUCCCCUGCAGAGCUGCAACUUUGAGAGUGGGUAUAGUGACGUAACUCAGGUUCUUCAAGGGAUGAACACUCCAACUUUGAAACCACUAGCCUGUAGGUGUGGACGAAAAGGCAGCUGCAUGUUAUAAAACAAUAUUACUCAUACUUUUGGAUCAAGCUUCUUUCAGUCCCAUGGGUAGGGAGGAGGGGCAAUUUGCUGAAGCCCACUGCCCUUCCAGUACUCACAAGCCAAGGGCCCUAUGGGAUCUGUUUCACAGGACUCAUGCUUAUGGCAGCUGAGCACAUCUGUCCUGUAUGUCUGCCAGCAGCCACGUCCCUCUCACUCCUGUGACGACAGCCUUGACUAUAUUUAGAAAUUCCAUUUCUGAUUGCAUUUCACUGCUGAAUGGUCCUAGAAUCCUUUAUUGCCCUUGUCCCAUCACAAGAGACAGCCAGCCACAGCCACUUUUAUCUCAACAACAUACUGAAUACUGACAGAACAAACAGGCAAGUUGUAGAUUCACCAGGAUUUAUACAUAUUUGAUUUUUUAUUACCAAUCAAAAAUAAAUUCCAUAUAUCGUU